GGAAGCACUACGGUCGCUGGUGGGCCAGCCGGUCUUCAAAACCGGUUGGGUGGAUGAGAAAUUUCCCCGGUGGGUUCGAUUCCCAUGUGCGCCA
rnacentral:tRNA from 1 species